GGGGAGAUGGGAUAGCAAGCACAGUUCUGCUCUCUAUGGGCUCCAGUCUCAAGGGCCAAAGGAAAGGUCACACCAGCACAUUAACCGUGGGAAGCCAUGUUGAUGCUGAUACCUGGGUCAUUUCCACCGAUAGCCUUGUAUCAUCCACACAGAAGGAAGGUAGAGCACGCAAGUCUGAGUCAGCCCACUUCUUGGACAUGGCACCUCUGAAGUUUAGGUGCCUAUAGUUGAGCCUUGGGGGGAAGAAUGGUUGAUAGAAAGGACAGAGAUCAGGAAAAUAAUGUCAGACCAAUGCCCAGGAGCUUCUCUUCCUCAUGACAGAUCUACCUGGAAAUGAUCCCUCCCCCACAGCCCUGGACUCUGCUGUUCCUUCUCCUUCACUUCACUUGAGGGAUCUGAGCCUGGUCUGGGCCAUUCUUUUGACUUUCAAAAAGUCUUGAUUAUUGGAAGGACCACCAUGACAGGGACUCCUCCAUCCCUCUCUCCUGCAGAUUCUGAGACCUGUAUUCAGUUGCCUGUUGAGCUUGAGGAAUUCUUAGAAAGGAGGAGAUCUACAUGUUUCCACGAUCAUCCCUGCCUCUAUGCACUAGAUGCCAUAGCACCCUCUCUCACAGAUGUGGCAACCAAAAAUGUCUCUAGACAUUCUCAAAUGUCACCUGGAGGUGGAAGAGACAAAAUCCUCCCUUGGUUGAGAACCAUUGAUGAAGAAUUAGAGAUCUUUGCAUGUCCACUGGCUGGAAGACUAUAAAGAGGUGUCUUCUGUAUGUCUGCUUCCCUAGGAGCUCCUAACUUUUGGCAAUCAUGUUUCUGCAUAGAUGAUUUUACCUCCACCAGACAUAUCAGUGUUAUAGAUCAGUGCUUAUGUUACCUUACCGUACAUCCCUACCGAGAGCAACAAGGAGCUGUGUAUAGUUCACCAAAUCAAACUUCUAUAAAAUCAACAAUGUAAUCCAGAAAACCCCAGGUUUAUUGGGGAUCUAUUAAGUGUGUUCACUGUAUCACCUCUCGUUCUUUCAACUCUCCUGAGGGAUAGGUAUCAGUAACCUCAUUUUAUGAGUGAGAAAUUUGACGCUCAGAAUAGUUAACCUGGGAGUGGGAGCUAGGAUUUCAUCCCAGAUGCAGUUUGCUCCAAAGCUCAUGUAACUUCCUUGUUUCUGAGUGCCUCACAAUGUUCUCGAUGAAAUGCUGCACUGCACGGCUCUGGAGCAGUGUCAUGCAGUGGUCCUGUUGCCUCUGGAGCCACACAGAUUGUGCCACACACAGGCAGGCUUCCAGCAUGCUGUCUGCCAAGAACUCUGGGGGCCUGCAUCACUCUCCCAGGCUGACCUUGCAAUGCUUUGUAGAUUCCCAGGAAACUCGAGCACCUCUUUCAAGCGCUUUACUGUCUUUGGAUAUUGGCCAAACCUUCUUCCACUUGUCUUAUUUGAAUUGUGACUGUGAUAAAAAUUCCUCCUUCAGGGAAUGAGGUGGCCUGAUCUGAGCUCACUAUUCUAGAAGCACAUUCUGAGAAGUUGUGCCCUCAAGACUAUCUUUUGUCAUUUCAGUGCUACUGGUGGACUUGUCUCCUCCAGAGUCCCCAGAUCUUUGGAGGUCAUAUUGCCAAUGUAAACUUGCAGCAAUUACCUAUAAAGUUCCAAACAAAAGUCUCGCUGGCCUAUUUUUAUGAACCUCAAAAGUUUUGAGCAAACACUGCUGAAAAGUCAGCCUUCAAGGAAUGCUACCCUUCUCUACUUUGCAAAGCAGAGUGCCAAAACUGGAGGAGGGAAAGACAUACUUUUUCAGCCUUUGGGCGAUUUUUGAGUUCCGGUAGCGCUCAAAAUCAACUUCAUCUGUUCAGAGGUGGUGACUGUCCAGUAGAUGAAGACACUGAUCCUGUCUGAUAAACCAGGUGUCUCCGGAAAUAUUUGCCUUCAUUCUGAGUGUUAUGUGUGUGUUUAGGAGGCUCUGCGUGUGUGUGUGUGCGUACACACACACACGCACCCACCCACGUGUCCCCACUUGGUAACUCAAACCGAUGCUACCUGGUGCCCACAUCUGCAUGAAAUCAGCAAUCAUUUCAGCCAACCCAACUAGAAAGUUCCAAACAUCUGGAGGUUGGAAACUUGUGACCGGAACUCCUGGAUCCUUACACUGCUCUUUUUUCCUUCUGGUUUUCAUCCCUAGACUUGGCGUCAGUGUAGACACCGCCUUAGUGGUUCCUCUUGUAAACUGAGCCUUGCAGUGCAGACGUGUGACCAAGGUUAUCCCUGGAAAGAACGUCAUGGGCCUCAGUGGAAAGUUGCUGGACAAGCCCCAGACUGUGUUAUGAAACAAACCCUUGUUUCCAGGGUGGGACACUUGCUGAAUGAUCUGUGUUAUGUGGUUGCAAGUAAGAAUGACAAAAAUAAAGCAUCCUUAAUUUCUGGGAAAGUCAGUGCUCGAACUUCAAGAAUGAGUUAUUGAGGGAGGGGAUGACGUCUCCUGGGUUGGGAGGUCUACUGGAGAAAGCCCAAUAGCUUUCCCAACUGGGGCCGCUUCAUCACCCCUGGGGACUGAGCUGUGUUUCUUGGGCUGGAGAACAGAAGGAGCCGGUAGUUCAUCAUGUUGACAGCCAGUCAUGGGGGCCUGGAGGCCUGUGUUCCCAAUCACAGGGUUCCUGCCUUCUCUUCUCCCACCAAAUCCUUGCCUGGGGCCCCUGCCUCUCCCUGGUGAGAUUUCUGCUUUCAAAUCCC
rnacentral:lncRNA from 1 species